rnacentral:rRNA from 1 species
GACGAACGCUGGCGGCGUGCCUAAUACAUGCAAGUCGAGCGAAGUGGAGAGAGCUUGCUCUCGAAGCUUAGCGGCGAACGGGUGAGUAACACGUGGGGAACCUGCCCGAUAGACCGGGAUAACUUGGGGAAACUCAAGCUAAUACCGGAUAGGAUCAUUAACCGCCUGGUUGGUGAUGGAAAGUCUGAACGACACUAUCGGAUGGACCCGCGGCGCAUUAGCUAGUUGGUGGGGUAACGGCCUACCAAGGCGACGAUGCGUAGCCGACCUGAGAGGGGGACCGGCCACACUGGGACUGAGACACGGCCCAGACUCCUACGGGAGGCAGCAGUAGGGAAUCUUCCACAAUGGGCGAAAGCCUGAUGGAGCAACGCCGCGUGAGUGAUGAAGGUUUUCGGAUCGUAAAACUCUGUUGUUAGGGAAGAACACCCGGGAGAGGAUCCCGGUUUGACGGUACCUGACGAGAAAGCCCCGGCUAACUACGUGCCAGCCGCCGCCGUAAUAC